rnacentral:rRNA from 1 species
UACGUAGGGGCGAGCGUUGUCCGGAAUUAUUGGGCGUAAAGAGCUUGUAGGCGGUUUGUCGCGUCUGCUGUGAAAAUCCGGGGCUCAACCCCGGACUUGCAGUGGGUACGGGCAGACUAGAGUGUGGUAGGGGAGACUGGAAUUCCUGGUGUAGCGGUGAAAUGCGCAGAUAUCAGGAGGAACACCGAUGCGAAGGCAGGUCUCUGGCCACUACUGACGCUGAGAAGCGAAAGCAUGGGGAGCGAACAGGAUUAGAUACCCGCGUA